AGAGUUUGAUCAUGGCUCAGAUUGAACGCUGGCGGCAGGCCUAACACAUGCAAGUCGAGCGGUAACAGAGAGUAGCUUGCUACUUUGCUGACGAGCGGCGGACGGGUGAGUAAUGCUUGGGAACAUGCCUUGAGGUGGGGGACAACAGUUGGAAACGACUGCUAAUACCGCAUAAUGUCUACGGACCAAAGGGGGCUUCGGCUCUCGCCUUUAGAUUGGCCCAAGUGGGAUUAGCUAGUUGGUGAGGUAAUGGCUCACCAAGGCGACGAUCCCUAGCUGGUUUGAGAGGAUGAUCAGCCACACUGGGACUGAGACACGGCCCAGACUCCUACGGGAGGCAGCAGUGGGGAAUAUUGCACAAUGGGCGCAAGCCUGAUGCAGCCAUGCCGCGUGUGUGAAGAAGGCCUUCGGGUUGUAAAGCACUUUCAGUCAGGAGGAAAGGUUAGUAGUUAAUACCUGCUAGCUGUGACGUUACUGACAGAAGAAGCACCGGCUAACUCCGUGCCAGCAGCCGCGGUAAUAAU
rnacentral:rRNA from 1 species